AGAGAUGUAGCUCUGUGGCAGAGCAUCAGCUUAGCAUGCAAGAUCUCAGGGACUGGACAGAUGAGGAGGUGUGCUGCCUGUCAGCUCCCUCGUGACACAAGGGGUCGCAGGUUCAAACCCUGGCAUCUCCA